UACGUAGGGUGCAAGCGUUGUCCGGAAUUAUUGGGCGUAAAGAGCUCGUAGGCGGUUUGUCGCGUCUGCUGUGAAAACCCGAGGCUCAACCUCGGGCCUGCAGUGGGUACGGGCAGACUAGAGUGCGGUAGGGGAGAUUGGAAUUCCUGGUGUAGCGGUGGAAUGCGCAGAUAUCAGGAGGAACACCGAUGGCGAAGGCAGCUCGCUGGGACGGUACUGACGCUGAGGCGCGAAAGCGUGGGGAGCAAACAGG
rnacentral:rRNA from 1 species